UCUCAUCUGCAAGAAGAUGAAUCCACUGUGGUUCUUCCUCUUUCUGCUGUCAGCUCCCAGAGGUGUCCUGUCCCAGGUGCAGCUGCAGGAGUCGGGGCCCAGCCUGGUGAAGCCCUCGCAAACCCUCUCCCUCACCUGCACGGUCUCCGGAUUCUCAAUAACCAGCUAUGCUGUGGGCUGGGUCCGCCAGGCUCCAGGAAAGGGGCUGGAGUGGCUUGGUGCAGGUUAUAGUGGAAGCGCAUAUUAUAACCCAGCCCUGAAGUCCCGGCUCAGCAUCACCAGCGACACCUCCAAGAGCCAAGUCUCCAUGUCACUGAGCAGCGUGACCCCCGAGGACACGGCCGUCUAUUACUGUGCAAGAUGCACAGUGAUGGGUAGUCCCUGUGUGCUGCCUGACGUGACACUACAGGAGUCGGGUCCAGGACUGGUGAAGCCCUCGCAGACCCUCUCCCUCACUUGUGCUGUCUCUGGAGUCUCCAUCACAACCAGUUAUUUUGGUUUCAUCUGGAUCCAUCAGGCCCGGGGAAGAGACUUGAGUGGAUGGGGGGCAUAGAUUAUGAUGGUGACAAGUACUGCAGCCCAUCCCUCAAGAGCCACACUUCCAUCUCCAGAGACACGUCCAAGAACCAGAUCUCCCUGCAGCUGAGCUCUGUGACCCCCGAGGACACGGCCGUGUAUUACUGUGCAAGCUGCACAGUGAGGGGAAGUCCGUACACAGAGCCCCUGCAGCUGGACAAGGUGGCCUGCAGCGGUGUGCAGGACCGCCAAGGGGGCUCACUCUCAGCAGAAAAUGCAGAGGACCACCAGGAAAGCCAGGGCCCCUAUUCUGGAGCAGGUGCAGAGGAGGACAUGGAGCGGUUGUCUCUGUGA